AGAAUCAACGCUGGCGGCGUGCCUAACACAUGCAAGUCGAACGAGAAAGUCCGCAAGGACAAGUAAAGUGGCGACCGGGUGAGUAACACGUGACUAACCUACCUUUUAGUGGGGGAUAACUCCGGGAAACCGGGGCUAAUACCGCAUAACAUCGCAAGAUCAAAGCAGCAAUGCGCUGGAAGAGGGGGUCGCGGCUGAUUAGCUAGUUGGCGGGGUAAUGGCCCACCAAGGCGAAGAUCGGUA
rnacentral:rRNA from 1 species